ACUUACUGGGUGAGCAGGGUAGGCUAAGACAGCUGUCAUAUCAUACCCUGCCAUGCCCAGCUGAUGCAAAGAAUAGAAUUUAUAUCUACACAGAAGAAAGCCCUGUCUAGACUCUGCCCCAGUACGAGUUGUGUCCAGCUAUUCAUUACCCUGUUUGUUUAAUGAAAAAAGAUUAAAUGUAGUUGCAAUAAAUGCGUUAAGAAUCCAUACAACUGCAGCAGUGGAGGACUAUUAUUCUGCUGCAUGAUACUGCAGAAGAACUGAUGAAGGCACGGUUUGAUCUUCGGCUGACCAAUCAGCAGAAAGGGGCGUUUAAUUCCCGCCCACAUGUAGAAAUCGAAUAUUCAAGCUGUUUAUUCAUUUUUCCACCCAUGAACGAAAAACGAAAAUUUAAGAUGAACUCUCAUUUUUCUACUUUCAAUAUUAAAUCAAAAAACGAAUGAUCGAAUGAUACACGGAUUUGAAUCCACCAAUAUAUUCAUAUUACAGAAUCAAAAUAAUUUGUGAAUAUUUCAUGUUGACUUUAAAAAAAGACUUGGCUGGUAAAAUAGUUCCCACUUGGGCGCUGUGAAAACAGGCAUCCAUGGCCUGCCUGUCUAAAACUGUGACUUGCUUCCAGAUUAAUGUUCUCCAGACCCGAAUCAAUGAACAACAAAAGUUGUAAGUAACCGGCUGUGUUGUGUAACUGUUGUCGGUCAGAUUUGUGUCGGGUCUGGGCUCUCGAUCGGUCGGUCGCUGCCGUGGGUGAAGGCAGGAGACGUGCUUGUGGCUGUAAUCAGGCAGCUGACGUCUGCAAAUCCACAGGAUUCCCCAUCAGCCUGUCCUGUUGAAAUUGUCUUUUGUGCUUAGCAAGGCUUGUAUGUGUCCCUUACAGAUCACUCAGCUACUGGCUAGACUCAGAGAUCACCAGAGUGCCAAAGGUCGUGGCAAGGGCAAGGUUGGCGGCAGGCUGAGACCCACAAUUAUUCUGCAGUCAUCACUAAACUGUAUCAUUCAUUUUAUCCCUGCAACAUUAAAAGAGCCAAACUGCCUACAAAGUGUCCCGGUGACUGUUUCUCACAUACUUUAUUUUACAUUAUUUUCCAGAACCUCCUUUUUCACUAUACUAUACCCUCACAUGAUAAAUACUGUCACUAUACCCACACAUGAAAAUGUAAUUCAUCAGCAGUGCAAAGAAAAAAGGGUGCAGAACCAAUAUGAUCUUAAUAAUAAACUCAUUUCAACAGACUAUCAAACCAAUGUAAGUCAUAAUAGAAAGAGGAACUGGAUA
rnacentral:lncRNA from 1 species